rnacentral:rRNA from 1 species
UAGAGUUUGAUCCUGGCUCAGAUUGAACGCUGGCGGCAUGCUUUACACAUGCAAGUCGAACGGCAGCGCGGGCUUCGGCCUGGCGGCGAGUGGCGAACGGGUGAGUAAUAUAUCGGAACGUACCCAAGAGUGGGGGAUAACGUAGCGAAAGUUACGCUAAUACCGCAUACGAUCUAAGGAUGAAAGCAGGGGACCGCAAGGCCUUGUGCUCCUGGAGCGGCCGAUAUCUGAUUAGCUAGUUGGUGAGGUAAAGGCUCACCAAGGCAACGAUCAGUAGCUGGUCUGAGAGGACGACCAGCCACACUGGAACUGAGACACGGUCCAGACUCCUACGGGAGGCAGCAGUGGGGAAUUUUGGACAAUGGGGGCAACCCUGAUCCAGCAAUGCCGCGUGAGUGAAGAAGGCCUUCGGGUUGUAAAGCUCUUUUGUCAGGGAAGAAAAGGGAGUGGCUAAUAUCCAUUCCUGCUGACGGUACCUGAAGAAUAAGCACCGGCUAACUACGUGCCAGCAGCCGCGGUAAUACGUAGGGUGCAAGCGUUAAUCGGAAUUACUGGGCGUAAAGCGUGCGCAGGCGGUUUCGUAAGUCUGUCGUGAAAUCCCCGGGCUUAACCUGGGAAUGGCGAUGGAGACUGCGAGGCUAGAGUUUGGCAGAGGGGGGUAGAAUUCCACGUGUAGCAGUGAAAUGCGUAGAGAUGUGGAGGAACACCGAUGGCGAAGGCAGCCCCCUGGGUCA